rnacentral:lncRNA from 1 species
CUAGAGUUCUUCGUCUUUAGCGCAAAAUCAAUAACCCAGUCUUGAUUAAUGCUAAAUUGUUAUUUAACCCAAUCAUUAACAUUUAUCAUUGUAAUUUUCAAAAUCUUUUCUGCUUCUCUGCCACUUUUUCAGUGAAACUCUGAUUAAUCAUUGCAACAUGUUCUUAAAUCUUAGUAAAAUAUGUAUUACAUUUUUUUUUCUUUGAAGUUUUCUUCGGAAUUUUAUCUGAGGUCAGUUGUUCUUUCAUUCCUCUUAAUCGUCUUCCAUCUUGAUUCUCCUCAAUUGUUUAUUUAUACUGGCUUAUAAAAGAUUACUUUUGGCUUUCUCUGAUGUUGUUCGGACUUGUUUUUGCAAAUGGUGUCUCACUUAAAUGGGAGUGUGAUACCAUUUAAGUAGUCAGGGCAUACAGAUAAGCAGGCACCCCAGAAAGGUACCUAAACAAGAAGUCAAGCCUGCCGGGAUCCACCAAAAGUGUUUUUCUCUGAAGAAGCAAGCUUCAGUGCCUCUGCUACUCUCUCAGAUUCCAAGAUCUCAGAUGUCCUACUGAACUGUUAGUCUACUUUCUUAAAAGAGAACAGUUCUUAGACUUCAGGCCUGAGGGCAGGCACCACUGCCACCAGAGCUGUUUAGACUGGAGGAAGGGGAGGAUGGAGGUCCAACUAACCCAGCACUCUGGCAAGUAACUCUUUAAAAAAUUCCUGAUUAUUACUCAAUUACUACUGUUCUCUGUCCUUGUUGACUCCAAACCUGGAGCCUUUCCAAGGUUCCCCUAGGAAAACCUGAGCUUACCUCUGGUAUCUUGAGUUCCAGUUUCCUUUGAGAUUUUGCUGUCAAUGCGAUCCCGUGAGCUUUCUAUCUUCUUCAAAA